CAGUCACUCACUCAGUUUUCGCUUCGGGAACGCAGAAGUGUAGAAGUGUUUUUGUGUAACUGCUCGUCUGUGCUGGUUUUGGACUUUCUCAGAUUUUUGUGAUAAUGAAAUAAUGGGGUGCUUACGGCUGGAGAUUGGUGGUUCCGGGGUUAAGGGGAUCUCUGAUGGUCUAAUAAGAUUUUCGUGAAUUCUAAACAGCUUAUGAAACAUAUUACGGUUGUGAGAAAUGACAGAAGACGAAGUUCUAAAUCCAGGGAAAAAGUUUUAAGCUAUACAAAAAUGGAAUACUUCCUCUCCCAUAUGUUGCCGAAUAAAA